CAGGAGAGGCCUGGAAAAUCAUCUGAGCUUGAAAACAGUCGUUGAAGUUUCAGUGUUCUUGGUGAUGAAGUUGAUUGUGUGCAUGUUUCAUUAAGAAUCAAAGCAUGUACAUCAUUCUGCAUGGAAGCCAACAGCAGAAGCACAGCAGCAUCCCCAAGGUUCAAUGGUCUGGAAGGGAUAGAAGUGGUCAGUUAAUCAAAACAUCUGGACACAUAGGAGUUUCAUUUUAUCUUCUUAGAGCAAGCACCUUGGCAACCCAAUUUUUGGGGGGACCAGCAGUGGUCAUUUCAGAGACUCACUGAGCUGUACAGCCGAGCCGCAAGGUCACCUUGGUUCCACGUACAGGCAGUGAUGGGCCCCAUCUGUGUCGUGCUAGCGGGUCAUCAGGGGAGCUCCCGUCUGUCACAGGGCCGGCGACUGUCACCCCCAGGACGUGUUCCCUCCAUAAAUGGAAACCGGCCUCUCCCACUCCCCUUCACCCGUUUUGCCCAACUUCUCUCCUCUCUCCACUCUGGCAACCAUUAAGUUUGUUCUGGGUACU